UUGCCCACGCCCUAUCACCCUCCCCAUUCUCUUUUUCUUUUUGGGUUCUGGGUUCGAAGAAAAAGAAAACAGAGAGAGAGAGAGAGAGAUAAGAGGUUGAAAGAUAGGAAUGAGCAGCGAACAAGAGAGAGACGAAGAGCUCGAAAUAGAAGUUAGAGAAGUGGAAGAAGAUGGGCAAAUGGAACAAGGCUGGCCGAAGGGCUUUCUGGCUCUACUCCUUGAAUACGCUAUCAAUCAUCGCAACACCCGCAGCCACCGCAAUCACCACAGCCGCCAUCACCAUCAUCGCCGCUGUCACCAGCGUUACCAUCGUCUCCACUACUGCUAAUGACAGCACUAGUGCCAGCCAUGACUUUCAAGUCGCCAUCUUUGCUACCAUUAAUUCGAUUAUGAUCGGAGUCUGUGGCCUUUGCCCCUCUCUUCCUGCAGAAUAUUGAGGCGAUACAAACUAGGAGGAGCAUUAGAAUAUAAGGAUUACAAAUGAAAAUCAAUAGAGCUGCCUGUGCCAUCUAUAUUACACAAUCCAUCUCAAGUAGGACUCACUAUAUAUACACAGAUUUAUAAGCGUGCAUGUUGCUUAAGCAAAUAUUCAAUUUGAUUGUCAUUUUCGGUUUUUUAAAUUGUUUUCGCAUGACUUGUUGCUUUAAGCAAAUGCCAUGAGACGUUGAAUGAUGAAUUAUCUAAGAGGGAAAUGAUGGGUAGAAG